GACGAACGCUGGCGGCGUGCUUAACACAUGCCAGUCGUACGGUAAGGCCCUUUCGGGGGUACACGAGUGGCGAACGGGUGAGUAACACGUGAGUAACCUGCCCACAACUUUGGGAUAACGCUAGGAAACUGGUGCUAAUACUGGAUAUGUGCUCCUGCUGCAUGGUGGGGGUUGGAAAGCUCCGGCGGUUGUGGAUGGACUCGCGGCCUAUCAGCUUGUUGGUGGGGUAGUGGCCUACCAAGGCGGCGACGGGUAGCCGGCCUGAGAGGGUGACCGGCCACAUUGGGACUGAGAUACGGCCCAGACUCCUACGGGAGGCAGCAGGGGGGAAGAUUGCACAAUGGGCGCAAGCCUGAUGCAGCAACGCCGCGUGCGGGAUGACGGCCUUCGGGCUGUAAACCGCUUUCAGCAGGGACGAAGCUUUUUGUGACGGUACCUGCAGAAGAAGCACCGGCUAACUACGUG
rnacentral:rRNA from 1 species